AGUGAACGCUGGCGGUAGGCCUAACACAUGCAAGUCGAACGGCAGCACAGUAAGAGCUUGCUCUUACGGGUGGCGAGUGGCGGACGGGUGAGGAAUACAUCGGAAUCUACUUUUUCGUGGGGGAUAACGUAGGGAAACUUACGCUAAUACCGCAUACGACCUACGGGUGAAAGCAGGGGAUCUUCGGACCCUGCGCGAUUGAAUGAGCCGAUGUCGGAUUAGCUAGUUGGCGGGGUAAAGGCCCACCAAGGCGACGAUCCGUAGCUGGUCUGAGAGGAUGAUCAGCCACACUGGAACUGAGAAACGGUCCAGACUCCUACGGGAGGCAGCAGUGGGGAAUAUUGGACAAUGGGCGCAAGCCUGAUCCAGCCAUACCGCGUGGGUGAAGAAGGCCUUCGGGUUGUAAAGCCCUUUUGUUGGGAAAGAAAAGCAGCAGGUUAAUACCCCGCUGUUCUGACGGUACCCAAAGAAUAAGCACCGGCUAACUUCGUG
rnacentral:rRNA from 1 species